GACGAACGCUGGCGGCGUGCCUAACACAUGCAAGUCGAACGUGAUUUCUGUGGAAAUUCUUUCGGGAAGGGAAAUGAAGUGAGAGGGGCGAACGGGGGAGUAACACGUGAGCAACCUACCUUACACAGGGGGAUAGCCGUUGGAAACGACGAUAAAUACCGCAUGAGACCACAGAAUCGCAAGAUACAGGGGUCAAAGGUUUAUCGGUGUAAGAGGGGCUCGCGUCUGAUGCGCGGGUUGGAAGGGUAAAGGCCUACCAAGGCGACGAUCAGUAGCCGGUGUGAGAGGAUGGGCCGCCACACUGGCGCUGGGCCGCGGUCCGAACUCCUACGGGAGGCGGCAAUGCGGAAUAUUGCACAAUCGGGGGAGCCCUGAUGCAGCGACGCCGCGAGAGCGCUGUAGGUGUUCGAAUCGUAAAGCUCUGUCCUAUGAGCAGAUAAUGACGGUAUCAUAGGAGGAAGCCCCGGCUAACUACGUG
rnacentral:rRNA from 1 species